GGGGUUGUGGCUCAGAGGUACAGCACUCCCCUAGCAUGGGUGAAUGAGGCCCUGGGUUUGAUCCUCAGCACCACA
rnacentral:tRNA from 1 species